rnacentral:sRNA from 1 species
GCCGGGUGUGGUGGUGUAUGCCUGUAAUCCCAGCAGCUUGGGAGGCUGAGGCAGGAGGAUAGCAGGUUCAAAGCUAGCCCAGCAACUCAGCAAGGCACUAAGCAACCUGUCUCUA